rnacentral:lncRNA from 1 species
AUGCUUGCCAUGCGGCGCGCCGCGCAGCGGGCGAUCGCCGCGGCGGAGAAGGCCGCGCGGAGGAAGACGCAGCGAGCGGUGGCCGCGGCGGCGAGGGCCGCGCGGAGGAAGCAGAAGGCCGCCGAGAGCGUCGCCCGGAGAGAGCAGAAGGCCGCCAUGAGAGAGCAGAAAGCCGCCGCCGCCGCCGCCGCCAACCAGAAGAAGCGGAAAGCCGCCGCCGCCACCGCUGCCGCCGUGCGCGCGGCGGCGCGGCGUAAGCUCGACUUCGACGGUGAGCAGCAGCAGAUCAUGCCGCCGGAACGCAUCUACCAGACCUCCUCCUCCAGCAGCAGAGCCGAUCUGAUGGACAACAUGAGGCUCCUCCUCGUCGCGUUCGACCUGCAGGCCGGCGAAAUCGACGCGGAACCACCGGUGUCGCCACCGGCGAGAUCGGAGAGGCAAAUCUUGCGGCUGCCGCCGCCGGCCACCGUGACCACCGCCAUCGUCGCCCUCAAGAACAAGCCGAAGAAAGCGACAACGGUGAACAAGCUCGCGCUGGUGCCGUACAAACCCAAGCGCGCGGCCGCCUCCGCCGUCGACGAGGUGCUCCCGGGGGCGCUGGUGCUCUACGGCGAGCCGACCACGCAGCCGGCGCGGGUGUUCGUGCCACGGUGGACCUCCGUGCGGCUCGUGCUCGACAAGCUCCGGCCUCGCUUCGGACUCGUCCUCGGCCUCGACGCCGCAACGAGGGCCGUGUACAACGAGCUGGUGCGGCGGGAGGAGACGUCGUACGGCGACGACGAGCUCCACGAUGUGCCCAGCGGCACGGAGUGGGAGGAGCGGCGCCGCGAGUUCGAGCGCAAGCAACGCUUUCAUGACAAUCGCGGCGAGGUUCCCUCUGAAGAACCGUAGGAAUGCAGCACACCAUUCAGACAAUGUACUUUUGUUUUUUUUUUAGUUUUUUUAGAGAAGGGUAUUUUCUACCCGGCCUCCAUAUCCAACCGGAUAUAUACGGCCAUUGAGAUAGGGAACUUAGCCCCGCAAACAACCCAAUUUGAAGUACCUUUGUUGGCGCAGAAUUCAGGCAAUGUACCUCUGUUGUUAACUGAUGGUCACGAUGAACAAGAACAAUGCCAUUGCCAGCUUCAAAGCAUAGCACAAUGCAGCAGUGGUUCAAAAUCAGGUGUGGCUGAACCCGGUGAUGUCAGCCAAGAAGCUAAGCAAACAGAGUGCCCUGACAAGGAUCUUGAGGCGAUCAUGUCGGCGAUACGAAGCGGCGAUAUAUCAAAUUUUGACGAUGAUCACAUACAGAAGGUUCUGAAAGCCAGGUUCAAAGAUUCGACACCUCCUCCUCCUUCCGAAUCUUCUUCGAAAAAAAAGACGAUAUCCACAGCUGAAACAAUCUUCAAGGACAUUAAGUCUAUUAAGAAAAAUGAUACCUCCCAUUGGCAUUCUCUCUAUGAUGAAGCUCGCAACAGAGGGUACAUAAGAGAUGAUGACAUUCCUGACAUGGUCGAUUGGGAGGCUUUGAUGAAUGCACCAUUUGCUGAUGUUGUGGACUGCAUCAAGGACCGAGGACAGCAUUCUCAAAUGGCAUUUAGAAUCCUGGCUUUUCUAAUUCGCAUGAAAAGAGACCAUGGAAACAUUGACCUUGAAUGGCUUAGAUUCAUCCCUCGUGCAAAGGCAAAUUACAAGGCUAGGAUGGGUGCAACUCCGUCCUUUGCCAUCAUCUCAGGAGUUUCAUCGGGUAGACAACAAAACAGUAAGUUCUCUACUUUAAUUCAAGCGAUGCCUGGGUAUUUGUCAUUUGAUCGAAUUUGUCUAACAAACCAGCGCACAAACAGGUACGAGCUGCAUUGUCAGAUGAUAACUUUUGGAAAGGCAAUUUGUAGGAAAUCAAAACCAAACUGUGGCGCGUGCCCAUUUACUUCUGAGUGCAAAUAUUACAAAAGUCAGUUUGGGAGGGCCGCGCUUGCUCUCCCAGAGUACAGCCAGCAAGAUGCAACAAAGGAUGCAAACAUGGACGACCCAGCAAAGACAUAUGAUCUAAUUUUCAAAGCACAUCAAUACCAAAUCGAAUAUGGAAAAAACACAGAAAUGAAUUAUUGCGAGCCUGUUAUCGAGAUACCACCAACUCCACUACAUGAAAACCGAGGAGAAACAAGUGAUGAAGACGAUGAGAAUGAGUACUAUUUCGAUGAUGAUAUGGAAGACAUAGGUCGACACGAUUAUGAUAUGGAAGACAUAGAACACGAUUAUGACAUGGAGGUAGAUCUUCGCUCUGCGAAACCCACCACAAACACAAGCCAGGCAGGAGCUACACCUGGGAAAGAGAUGAUUCCAAUCAAUCCACGAGCCAAAUCAACUCCAAUGGUGAAGAAAUUUUCUCUGCGAACAGAGUACACUGCAAUAUUUUACAGCUGGGCUCUAAUUAUUCUGGUUUUUUUCACUAUUGCUGUUUUUAGAUGUAUCAUUCCUGAUGGCCAUAUCAUCUUGAAAAAGUUUGAUCCAAGGGUCCCUGGUGACCGAAAUCCAUAUCUCUUGGUAUUUCGUAGUUUUGACGAACAUACUGUGAAGGCUACAAUUUUGGUUUUUGCUGAUCAUUCGUCUAGUCGUUCACCCAUAGAAAUAAAUAGGGAUUUAGUAUGGGAGCUUCGGCGUCAGACAUGCAUUGUGCACUUUGGUACUAGAGUACAUAGUGUCACGAAAGGUCAAACAAGAGAAGGACUUUAUCACUUCUAUAAUGAAGGAUACAUCUGUACCAGAGAAUUUGACCGCAGGACAAAGUUUCCAAAACAAUUAUGUGUCGAAAUACAUGCCACCAACGUAAACAAAGAUAUUGGCAAGAAAAGGGCUAGACCUAGUACAACAAGGUUUUAUUCAGAGGAAGAUAGCGGAGACGAGUGGCCUGACUGGUGA